UACGGAAGGCAGCAGUGGGGAAUAUUGCACAAUGGGCGAAAGCCUGAUGCAGCUAUGCCGCGUGUAUGAAGAAGGCCUUAGGGUUGUAAAGUACUUUCAUCGGGGAGGAAAAAACAAAACUAAUAAUUUUAUUUCUUGACGUUACCCGAAAAAGAAGCACCGGCUAACUCCGUGCCAGCAGCCGCGGUAAUACGGAGGGUGCUAGCGUUAAUCAGAAUUACUGGGCGUAAAGAGCACGUAGGUGGUUUUUUUUAAAGUCAGAUGUGAAUCCCUGGGCUUAACCUGGAACUGCAUUUUGAAACUGAAAUACUAGAGUAUCGUAGAGGGAGGUAGAAUUCUAGGUGUAGCGGUGAAAUGCGUAGAUAUCUGGAGGAAUACCUGUGGCGAAAGCGGCCUCCUAAACGAAUACUGACACUGAGUGCGAAAGCGUGGGGAGCAAACAGGGAUUAGAUACC
rnacentral:rRNA from 1 species